AAUUUUGAUGCAAAGCAGGGAUUAAAAUAUAACCAGAGCCUUUGAUUGCGUUGCGUCUAAUAUACCAGUUCACCCUUCCAAAGGGAAAUCAACGCCCAAGACUUGCACGCCAUUCUCUCUCCUCCCCCAAUUCUUCUCCACGCCGGCGAAACCUCAAUCUCCUCAGGUGAAAAUUUGCAAUUUCCUGAUUCCUAGGUUGAUCACUGAUAAUUUCCGGCAAAGAUUGUAAAUUUGUGCUUAAUUAGGUGUUAAUUUAAUCAGAAUUAGGUGAUUAAUUUGAGUAGCAUGAUUAGCUAUGAAUCAAGUAGAACUUUAGGUGAUGAAGAAUUUGUUUGAGAGUACUGGUACUGCAAAUUCAUCUCCCGGUACUAGUUCCUCUUCAAUUUCCCCUAAUUUCAAACGCAUUGCUUCUAAUUCUUCCGAUCACAAAUCGUCAUUAUUGCCAUCAACUAGUGCUUCGUCGUUGUUGUCUGGAAUUGUUGUUUCCGCUUUCUCGAUUUUUGAGCCUUGUGUGGAGGAGGGACUGGAUACGGGUUCGAAUUCUCGUGAGACGAAGGGGGUUGGAAAUAAGACCAAGAUUAGUAAUUGUUGUAGUAGUAAUGGUUGGGCGGCUGCUGUAAAGAGGGUUAUGGCGAGUGGAUCGAUGAGGAGGAUUAAGGAGCAUAUGUUCGGGUUUACUAAGUCUAGUGCUGUCACCUCUACAAGUGAUAUUUGGUUGUUGGGUGUUUGCUAUAAACUUGAUGAUGCCAUUGGUGGUGAUCCUGUUAGUAGCAGCGGAUUUGCUGCAUUUGUCGAGGAUUUUUCAUCGAGGAUUUUGAUGACUUAUAGGAAAGGGUUUGAUGCCAUUGGGGAUUCAAAGUAUACUAGUGAUGUUAAUUGGGGCUGCAUGCUUCGGAGCAGUCAAAUGCUUGCUGCUCAAGUAUUAAUAGUUCAUCGGUUUGGUAGAUCUUGGAGGAAAUCUGUGAAUAAGCAAAUUGAUCAAGGGUACCUCGAAAUUCUGCACGAAUUUGGUGAUUCUGAAGAAUUAGCUUUCUCUAUACACAAGCUUCUAGAAGCUGGAAAGGGUUAUGGCCUAGCUGCUGGAUCAUGGAUUGGCCCCUAUGCCACAUGUCGUGCAUGGGAAACUCUGGCCCGGGCUGGUAAGUCACUGCCAAUGGCUGUCUAUAUUGUUUCUGGGGAUGAAGAUGGUGAAAGAGGCGGGGCUCCUGUUGUUUGUAUAGAAGAUGUAACUGCUUGCUGCCGUGAGCAUUCUGGUGGUGCUGAUUGGACGGCUAUUCUUCUGUUAGUUCCUCUAGUUCUUGGACUUGAUAAACUUAAUCCCAGGUAUGUUCCUUUAUUGGGGGCAACAUUUCAAUUUCCUCAAAGUCUUGGCAUCUUGGGUGGAAAACCUGGUGUUUCAACUUAUAUUGUUGGUGUGCAAGACGAAAAUGCGUUCUACCUGGAUCCCCAUGAAGUUCAGCCGGUAGCUAACAUUACAAAAGAUGACAUAGAGGCUGAUACUUCAUCAUUCCACAGCAAUGUGGUCCGCCAUAUUCCUUUGGAGUCUAUAGAUCCGUCAUUGGCAAUUGGAUUUUACUGCAGAGACAGAGAUGACUUUGAUGAUUUCUGCUCUCGAGCUUCUAAGCUAGCUGAUGAAUCAAAUGGUGCUCCGCUAUUUACUGUGACACAUAGCCGUAACGCCAUUAAGGAAGCCAGUCAGUGUAGCAUGAGUGGUGGUGGUGUUGGUGAAAUCCGAGAAGAUGAUUCUUAUGACAUACUGCAUUCAAACAAUGACGGAGGUUUGCAAGAGGACGAUUGGCAACUUCUCUGAUGGAUGGAUGAUUCUAUUAGUUUGAAGUUUGAUUGGAGCUGAAACGUUUGAGUAAGGGUUUAAAAUGUUUACAUGUUAAUAUUGUGUUUGUCCCUUGGUUGGUUGGUUCACGUUUAACUUUUUAUAAAAGUAAAUGAAUCUUGAGCCAUUUUAGUUCAGAUAGUGAAAUUUAAGCAUCUGCAGAGGAAAGGAAUUCAUCAUGGGUGUUUAACAGAUUGUAUCUAACUGUGGAAUUGGUUGCUCCCCAACUAUGAUGGUUGUGCUUCACUGUCUUGUGUGUCAUUUGAAAUACUUUGUACAGUAGUUUUUUAGUUUCUUAGGUCAACAUAAAUAUUGUGCUACAGUUAUGUUUUCAUUGGGAGUAUUAUCAUCGUUUCACAAUAACGAAGGCAAAAUUGGUUGAUGUAGUAAUCUCAGUUUAUCGAUGUAAGGGUUCGGACUUUGCACGAAUUCUUCCCGAGAUUGUUUCCUUAUGCAUUGCUUAUAAAGUUAUAAGUGAACUAAUAAUAGUAUUGUUACUUCAAUUUAGUGAUGUUAUGCUUAACAAAAGUACUAAUGUAAGCGUGCAGUCAGCGACAUUCAGAAGAAGUUUAAGGGUGUGUUCUAUUCUCUUGGUUUAAUUUAUUUGAAUUCUUAAACUUUAUUGUAGUUGUAAGUUUAACUUACGAGUAUAUUAACUGGUUGAACUCAUG